rnacentral:misc_RNA from 1 species
GCAGCAUAAGAAAAUUGCUUUAUAAUAUUACUUCGCCUUCAAAUGCUAUAUACAAUGUACAAGCUUCCUACAAUGUUAUGGGGCUAAUUCUUUUCUAGCAAAGGGGAACGCAAACGAAAAUGGAAACAAAACAAAAACACUGCAAUGCCUUCUCCAAGUUUUUAUGCUCCUGUUCUCCCAUCUUGAAACAAAGAAAAUUAUUCAGCUACAAAUUUUGAUGGCUUUAAGAACUCAUGCAGCAGCCAGUCCCUCAUUUACAAAAAUAUUGGAAACUGAAACAGGCUUAGUUGCCUAGUCCUCUGUAUACAAUGCGUUUUCUAUAUACCAAAAAAAAUAAAAAAUAAAAAAUA